rnacentral:rRNA from 1 species
UACAGAGGGUGCAAGCGUUAAUCGGAAUUACUGGGCGUAAAGCGUGCGUAGGCGGUUAUUUAAGUCAGGUGUGAAAGCCCCGGGCUCAACCUGGGAAUUGCAUUCGAGACUGCAUUGCUGGAGUACGGAAGAGGAAGGCGGAAUUCCCGGUGUAGCGGUGAAAUGCGUAGAUAUCGGGAGGAACAUCAGUGGCGAAGGCGGCCUUCUGGUCCAGUACUGACACUCAAGUGCGAAAGCGUGGGGAGCAAACAGG